CCCUUAGAUGUUCUGGGCCGCACGCGUGCUACACUGAGUGGAUCAGCGGGUCAGGUUGCGCGAAAGUGUUUCCUAAUCUUGAAAUCCGCUCGUGAUGGGGAUUGACGGUUGCAAUUUUCCGUCAUGAACGAGGAAUACCUUGUAAGCGCGGGUCAUCAUCCCGCGCUGAAUACGUCCCUGCCCUUUGUACACACCGCCCGUCGCUCCUACCGAUUGAGUGGUCCGGUGAGGCUUUGGGAUCUGAACAAAAAGAGCGUUUCGCUCGUUUGGCUCGGAAAACUCAGUCGAACCUUAUCAUUUAGAGGAAGGAGAAGUCGUAACA
rnacentral:rRNA from 1 species